AUGGGGGAGGGGGCGGUGAGGGGGGGUUCCCAUUGGCCAGAUGGGAUUUUUGGGGGGAUUUUGGGUUUUUGGGGUGUCACCUCCUGUCCCUUCCAUUCCCGGGUUCCCAUUGGCCAGAUGGGAUUUUUGGGGGGGAUUUUGGGUUUUUUGGGGGGAUUUUGGGGGUGUCACCUCCUGUUCCCUCCUCUCCAAGGUUCCCAUUGGCCAGAUGGGAUUUUGGGGGAUUUUUGGGGGAAUUUUUGGGGGAUUUUGGGGUUUUUGGGGGUGUCACCUCCUGUCCCCUCCCUCUCCCAAGUUCCCAUUGGCCAGAUGGGAUUUUGGGGGGAUUUUGGGGGUGUCACCUCCUGUCCCCUCCAUUCCCAGGUUCCCAUUGGCCAGAUGGGAUUUUUGGGGGAUUUUGGGGUUUUUGGGGGGAUUUUGGGGGUGUCACCUCCUGUCCCCUCCUCUCCCGGAUUUCCAUUGGCCAGAUGGGAUUUGGGGGGAUUUUUGGGGGGAUUUUUGGGGGAUUUUGGGGUUUUUGGAGGUGUCACCUCCUGUCCCCUCCCUCUCCCAAGUUCCCAUUGGCCAGAUGGGAUUUUGGGGGGAUUUUGGGGGUGUCACCUCCUGUCCCCUCCAUUCCCAGAUUCCCAUUGGCCAGAUGGGAUUUUGGGGGAUUUUGGGGAGGAUUUUGGGGGAUUUUGGGGUUUUUGGGGGGUGUCACCUCCUGUCCCCUCCAUUCCCAGAUUCCUAUUGGCCAGAUGGGAUUUUUGGGGGAUUUUGGGGUUUUUGGGGGGUGUCACCUCCUGUCCCCUCCAUUCCCAGAUUCCUAUUGGCCAGAUGGGAUUUUUGGGGGAUUUUGGGGUUUUUGGGGGUGUCACCUCCUGUCCCCUCCAUUCCCAGAUUCCCAUUGGCCAGCCGGGAUUUUGGGGGGAUUUUGGGGGGGUUUGUCACCUCCUGUCCCCUCCCCCGCCGGUGCCCGGUGUCACCUCCCGGUGUUGUCGCGUCCCCGUCGUGCUCCAUCCAUCCCAUUGUCCGGUGUGGUAGGAAAAGUGUCCGCGGAGCCAUAAAGAGCUGAUUUCACCCCAAAACAAUUCCACG
rnacentral:lncRNA from 1 species